ACGGAAGGCAGCAGUGAGGAAUAUUGGUCAAUGGUCGGAAGACUGAACUAGCCAAGUCGCGUGAAGGAAUACGGCCCUACGGGUCUUAAACUUCUUUUAUAGGGGGAUAAAGUGAGCCACGAGUGGCUUUUUGUAGGUACCCUAUGAAUAAGCAUCGGCUAACUCCGUGCCAGCAGCCGCGGUAAUACGGAGGAUGCGAGCGUUAUCCGGAUUUAUUGGGUUUAAAGGGUGCGCGGGCGGCACGUUAAGUCAGCGGUGAAAUGUCGGGGCUCAACCCGGGCACUGCCGUUGAAACUGGCGAGCUUGAGUACGGAUGAGGUCGGCGGAAUGUGAUGUGUAGCGGUGAAAUGCUUAGAUAUGUCGCAGAACACCGAUUGCGAAGGCAGCUGACUAAUGCGCAACUGACGCUGAGGCACGAAAGCGUGGGGAUCGAACAGGAUUAGAUACCCUGGUA
rnacentral:rRNA from 1 species